UGCAGUCGAGCGGUAGAGAGAAGCUUGCUUCUCUUGAGAGCGGCGGNACCGUUGAGUAAAGCCUAGGAAUCUGCCUGGUAGUGGGGGAUAACGUUCGGAAACGGACGCUAAUACCGCAUACGUCCUACGGGAGAAAGCAGGGGACCUUCGGGCCUUGCGCUAUCAGAUGAGCCUAGGUCGGAUUAGCUAGUUGGUGAGGUAAUGGCUCACCAAGGCGACGAUCCGUAACUGGUCUGAGAGGAUGAUCAGUCACACUGGAACUGAGACACGGUCCAGACUCCUACGGGAGGCAGCAGUGGGGAAUAUUGGACAAUGGGCGAAAGCCUGAUCCAGCCAUGCCGCGUGUGUGAAGAAGGUCUUCGGAUUGUAAAGCACUUUAAGUUGGGAGGAAGGGCAUUAACCUAAUACGUUAGUGUUUUGACGUUACCGACAGAAUAAGCACCGGCUAACUCUGUGCCAGCAGCCGCGGUAAUACAGAGGGUGCAAGCGUUAAUCGGAAUUACUGGGCGUAAAGCGCGCGUAGGUGGUUUGUUAAGUUGGAUGUGAAAUCCCCGGGCUCAACCUGGGAACUGCAUUCAAAACUGACUGACUAGAGUAUGGUAGAGGGUGGUGGAAUUUCCUGUGUAGCGGUGAAAUGCGUAGAUAUAGGAANGAACACCAGUGGCGAAGGCGACCACCUGGACUAAUACUGACACUGNNNUGCGAAAGCGUGGGGNGCAAACNGGAUUAGAUACCC
rnacentral:rRNA from 1 species